UAAAUACCGAUACAGGGCUCUUUUGGGCCCUGUAAUUGGAAUGAGUACAAUUUAAACCUCUUAACGAGGAACAAUUGGAGGGCAAGUCUGGUGCCAGCAGCCGCGGUAAUUCCAGCUCCAAUAGCGUAUAUUAAAGUUGUUGUGGUUAAAAAGCUCGUAGUCGAACCUCGAGCCUGGCCGACCGGUCCGCCUCACCGCGUGCACUGGCCUGGCCGGGCUCUUCCCUCUGCGGAACCGCAUGUCCUUCACUGGGCGUGUCGGGGAGGCAGGACUUUUACUUUGAAAAAAUUAGAGUGCUCAAGGCAGGCCAAUGCUCGAAUACAUUAGCAUGGAAUAAUAGAAUAGGACGUUGGUUCUAUUUUGUUGGUUUCUAGGACCGCCGUAAUGAUCAAUAGGGACGGUCGGGGGCAUCAGUAUUCAGCCGUCAGAGGUGAAAUUCUUGGACCGGCUGAAGACUAACUACUGCGAAAGCAUUUGCCAAGGACGUUUUCGCUGAUCAGGAACGAAAGUUAGGGGAUCGAAGACGAUCAGAUACCGUCGUAGUCUUAACCAUAAACUAUGCCGACUAGGGAUCGGGCGGCGUUCUUUCUAGACCCGCUCGGCACCUUUCGAGAAAUCAAAGUGCUUGGGCUCCAGGGGGAGUAUGGCGGCAACGCUGAAACUUAAAGGANNGGACGGAAGA
rnacentral:rRNA from 1 species